rnacentral:rRNA from 1 species
UACAGAGGUCUCAAGCGUUGUUCGGAUUCAUUGGGCGUAAAGGGUGCGUAGGCGGCGCGGUAAGUCGGGUGUGAAAUCUUGGAGCUUAACUCCGAAACUGCAUUCGAUACUGCCGUGCUUGAGGACUGGAGAGGAGACUGGAAUUUACGGUGUAGCGGUGAAAUGCGUAGAUAAUCGUAAGGAAGACCAGUGGCGAAGGCGGGUCUCUGGACAGUUCCUGACGCUGAGGCACGAAGGCCAGGGGAGCAAACGGG